GACCGCAAGGUUAAAACUCAAAUGAAUUGACGGGGGCCCGCACAAGCGGUGGAGCAUGUGGUUUAAUUCGAUGCAACGCGAAGAACCUUACCUGGCCUUGACAUCCUGCGAACUUUCCAGAGAUGGAUUGGUGCCUUCGGGAACGCAGAGACAGGUGCUGCAUGGCUGUCGUCAGCUCGUGUCGUGAGAUGUUGGGUUAAGUCCCGUAACGAGCGCAACCCUUGUCCUUAGUUGCCAGCGAGUCAUGUCGGGAACUCUAAGGAGACUGCCGGUGACAAACCGGAGGAAGGUGGGGAUGACGUUUGGAAUGUCGAUA
rnacentral:misc_RNA from 1 species